rnacentral:rRNA from 1 species
CUGCGGCGGAUUAGGUAGUUGGUGGGGUAACGGCCUACCAAGCCGAUGAUCCGUAGGGGGCGUGAGAGCGUGGCCCCCCACACUGGCACUGAGACACGGGCCAGACUCCUACGGGAGGCAGCAGUGAGGAAUAUUGCACAAUGGGCGCAAGCCUGAUGCAGCAACGCCGCGUGAGGGACGAAGGCCUUCGGGUUGUAAACCUCUUUUCUGAGGGACGAGGAAGGACGGUACCUCAGGAAUAAGUCUCGGCUAACUACGUGCCAGCAGCCGCGGUAAAACGUAGGAGGCGAGCGUUAUCCGGAUUUACUGGGCGUAAAGCGCGCGCAGGUGGCUUCGUGAGUCGGACAUGAAAGCUCCUGGCUUAACUGGGAGAGGCUGUUCGAUACUGCGGGGCUUGAGGUUGGGAGAGGGACGCGGAAUUCCCGGUGUAGUGGUGGAAUGCGUAGAUAUCGGGAGGAACACCAGUGGCGCAAGCGGCGUCCUGGCCCACACCUGACGCUGAGGUGCGAAAGCGUGGGUAGCAAACAGGAUUAGAUACCCUGGUAGUCCACGCUGUAAACGAUGUCAACUGGGUGUCGGUAGUUUUACACUAUCGGUGCCGAAGCCAACGCG